UCCUACGGGGGAGCAGCAGUAGGGAAUCUUCCGCAAUGGACGAAAGUCUGACGGAGCAACGCCGCGUGAGUGAUGAAGGUUUUCGGAUCGUAAAGCUCUGUUGUUAGGGAAGAACAAGUACAAGAGUAACUGCUUGUACCUUGACGGUACCUAACCAGAAAGCCACGGCUAACUACGUGCCAGCAGCCGCGGUAAUACGUAGGUGGCAAGCGUUGUCCGGAAUUAUUGGGCGUAAAGCGCGCGCAGGCGGUCCUUUAAGUCUGAUGUGAAAGCCCACGGCUCAACCGUGGAGGGUCAUUGGAAACUGGGGGACUUGAGUGCAGAAGAGAAGAGUGGAAUUCCACGUGUAGCGGUGAAAUGCGUAGAGAUGUGGAGGAACACCAGUGGCGAAGGCGACUCUUUGGUCUGUAACUGACGCUGAGGCGCGAAAGCGUGGGGAGCAAACAGGAUUAGAUACCCUGGUAGUCCACGCCGUAAACGAUGAGUGCUAAGUGUUAGAGGGUUUCCGCCCUUUAGUGCUGCAGCAAACGCAUUAAGCACUCCGCCUGGGAGACGGCCCCCGU
rnacentral:rRNA from 2 species